UCCACCCGAUGCGGCCGCCCUAUCUUCCUCGUCUAGUGAAGCAACGCCGCCCCAAUCUCCCCGCUUCGCCGCCGCCGCCCCCCGCCUUCCACUAUCACCAGCUCAGCCACCUCCACCCUCCUCUACAUCGCCGGAGGAACGGGCACACCUGGCGCGCCGCCUCGAGGCCGCGCUCGAGCAGGUGAGGAGGGAGUCGGUGCGGCAGGGCGCGGCGCUGGACGAGCUCAGGCGGCGGCUCGAGCGGCGGCGGGCGCGCGCGUACGACACCCCCUCCUCUCGAUCCAGAUGCGACCUCUCUCCCACUCCGCCGCCGCCCCUACUGCUCCGUCGCCGCCCCCUUGAUCUGUUUCCUACAUCGAUUGUCAAGAAUGCCCCAGCCGCCAUAGCCUCCGCCGCCGAUGUCCGGCUGAGACGCGCCAAGGAGAUCUCGCGACUCCGCCAUGUUGCAUGCCGCCUCCCCUUUUCAAGAUGGGGAGCUCGAGCGACCUCGAGCAACUACCACCGCCGUCGUCACGUAUGGCCCUACGAGCUCGUACAGCGUGUGCCCCGCCCUCCCUCCUCCGCCCCUGUCAGCCACGAAGGCUAUGCCCGUCUAUGGAUUCUCAGUCUCAGGGAAUGCUCACCUUAGGCCCUGUACGGUGGUCGGUGGGUAGCUUGACGUUGUUGAGGCUCUCGAAUAUUGUUGAUCGAGUCAAUGGAUGUUUCCUAGUUGCUCUUAUGGUGAGGAUCAGGUACUUCUCUUCGACGAUGAUGUCGCCAACACAGCAGAUGUAGCUUGUGGAUCCCACGGCAUGACUCAGAUGCUGACAAUGAACCGGACUACCCGUUGUAAUCUGAACACCUAAAGAAGGUUCCUAUACUCCUCCAUGUUGGUUAACAUUUGCUUCAGGAUGAUGUUCAGGUCAGGGCAGGACUUGAGGGAGGGCGUGGUUGUUGGAGGACGCCGCCGCCGCCAUCACGGAACUCUAGGGUCAGGGGGUGGUCUGCGGUCAGCGAGGACCGGCAAGGCCAUGUCAAUCGUUCCCUACAUCACGGAUCAUCAGAGAUAUUUACAUUCUCGAGGAGCGGCGCAAGGCCGUGCCCUAUAUCACCGAACAUCACAGCAAGGAGCGGCGCAAGGCCGUGCCCUACAUCACCAAACAUCACAGGUAUACAAAUACAAUGUGAGGGCGCUGGAAGCACACUCAUUGAGAGGGACCUCUGCCAGCUUUUGUUCAAGAUGGACGAGCGAAGACACGUCCGAAUGACCGCCAAAUUGUGGCAGAGGACGUGAGUGGCCAGGACCAUUGCGAGCCGGGUAGACGCAGGCAUGGUGAAGUGUGUUGGCAGAGCAGAUAUGGGAAGUUGGGCAGGGACCAGCGGAGUGGCAGGCGUUGCAACGGAGUUCGGAGGACGUAUCAUGGUGGGAGGUGGGGCAACACGGGUCUUCGGUCUGAAGAGUUAUUUUAUCAACUGUUUUUGGAUAUAGUUUUCUCAAUGGCUCUGUCUGCAAGGGGCAUGUUGGAGAGGCUAGGAGCAAGGAUUUUGUAGUAAAGAUAUGGUCUGGGAUGGAAACAUAUUUGGGAGAUAUGUUGCUGGGAACAAAGAAAAUAUUUACUUGUCAGUUUCCUGUUAUCUCUUUCUCUCCCUGUCUCAUUGCACUUACAUGUGAUUUUAGCUUAUGUCCGUGCACAAAUUUUAUCCAGAAACCAAAGAUUAAAAUCGCGGGAGAAAUAUAAGCUAUCGUGGAUCUGAAACCGCCCCGCGAUUUGCACGGCUCAGUAAAUAGCGGGAGAUCAGGCGAUUGCACCAUUAUUUCCUUAAUCGUCGUUGCAAAAAUCCCGGCCGCGAUUCUCUCUCGCCCGCGAUUUUAAUCUUUGCCAGAAACCAAAAAGAAGAAAAUGUUUAAACUGUUGCUGGCAUCUUAGAAGCCGUUGCAAGCUUCGACCAUAUGGACUAGCUUUUGUCGAUUAAAACCAUACAGGUAGUUCUUGUAAGAUACUUUCAUCUAUUCUCUAAUUUACUUGCAGUAUGAAUUUUUUCACCACAUUGGCUUUUGGAGAAAAUGCUUGCUUGAGAAUUUAAGAGUUGAAUGCUCGAAUGACAGAUUAUGAGAUACUGAGAAAGGAAAUAUUGCCUUUAGUGUGUUCAUUUAAUGAAGUGAUUGGCCUCAUUCGCAAAUAAUAAAUAAAAAUGAAGUUAUUGGCCUCUUUUCUAUUUGUUGCCCCAUUUUUAUAUUGACAUUGGGCAUUUAGAUACAACUAAAGGUUUUUUUUUUUAGAUUUGUAUUGUUCUUAUGCAGAAAUCAGUCGACGCCAUUGCCCAGGUCAUGCUCCCAGCCUGCACCAAAAAUUCAUCCGCCAACGAGUGGGAUUGAUAUGCAGUAGGACGUCCAUCUCAAGCAUUCUCCGGAUAUGGCCAAACUACUGUCCAGGCCGCAUGGUGGAGAGAGGAUACUCAACUUUGGAGGACAGUGCCUCAAUGGCGAUCAACUGCGGAUUCUUAUUGAAGGACUGGCGACCAUACAAAUUUGUUAACAGUUUUCAGGGAAUAUGGUACCGCAUGAUGGAGGAUGGUAGAAAAUCAGAUCUAAGUUUGCACCAAAUGUGACUUUGCCUUUCUCAUAUGGAAAUGUCUCACGCCGACGCUAUAUCUAACACUGACAUUCAGCGACGUUUUGCACCGUCACCCUCUUGGGAGCGUUGUCAUUGAGCUCGGGGGUCGUUGUUCGUGCCUCGGCGAGGUGUUAGGCUUGUUCUAGGCUCAUGUUGUAUCUUUUGAUCUACUUUGUAAGGGGACCUCUCCACAAUAUUGUAUCGUUCGGCCGUGUACUUUGGUUCGUUGCUUAAAGCAGGGCGAAAGCCUGUUCCGAGAGAGGGAUAAGUGCCAAUCGGCCAGGUUUCUGAUCCUGGCGCAUGUGCUAAGUACCGAGUGUUGGUGCUUCCCUAAGGGGACGAUCAAGGAGCAUAACAAAGAUGUAGUGACAAAAAUAUAGCGGCAUAGUUUAUUAGAUCCGAUGGCCUGAUGGAGAAGGAUGAAUAGAGGAGAAAAAAAUCACAUGUAUAUUAGCGAGGUGAGUGUAGAAAGAAACGUCUUGAAAAUAGGAAAUGAGGAAGGCAAAAGUUUCCUCUAGAUAGAAAAAGAAGACUAAUAUUGGGGUUCUCUAUAUAACAA